CUUUAACAAAGAUGGAGGGAAUCUAUGAGAAUGUUGAACGCCCCAAGUCUGUCGUCUCCAAACCUUCAACGAGUCAGACAGGAGCGAGAUGCCUUCAUGGAGUUGUGAUCUGUCUGGGGCUGUUGAGCGUUUUCCUGGUUGCUGGACUCAUCGGCCUCGGUGUCUACUGUUAUUACCUAACUGAGCA